UACGGAGGGUGCGAGCGUUGUCCGGAAUCACUGGGCGUAAAGGGCGCGUAGGCGGCGCGGGCAGUCAACGGUGAAAGCUCGGAGCUCAACUCCGAGACGGCCGUCGAUACUCCCGUGCUUGAGCGCUGUAGAGGCAGGUGGAAUUCCGGGUGUAGCGGUGGAAUGCGUAGAGAUCCGGAAGAACACCGGUGGCGAAGGCGGCCUGCUGGGCAGUAGCUGACGCUGAGGCGCGACAGCGUGGGGAGCAAACAGG
rnacentral:rRNA from 1 species